AAAAAGAACAGGAACGAUGCAGUUUGCCAAAUGCACAGCAGCCUGGAGAGGAGCUGGGAGCUGGUGGCAGAAGCAGCUACUGGAUACAAAGAGAUGCAGCCUCAUAGGUAGUUUGUGCUUUGACACUUCCCAUCAAAACCUUCCUUAUGCACAGCAAGGCACCCAACAAAAGGCAUUGGUUCGACACAGAAAGGGUGCAACGGAUGGGGAAGGUGAGGAUUAUGCCACAGCUGUGAUGCUGAAAGGAGUAGCUUGUACUGUCAGGAAAGACUAACACAGGAUUCAGUUCUAAGUUCAUUCUUAAUGAAAUCUGAGUGUUGUAGCAAAUGUGGAUGAAGGGAGAUUUCAACUGGUAUGUACCACAACCAACGAACACUCGGUAGGUUACAAAGCAUUUCCAUCCUAUGGUUUAUACAUUCAUAAUGCUCCCAAAUAGAUAUGGUGAUGGAUCGAUAGAUUUAAAAUAUGUCUGGGUUUUAUUAAUUCAUUAGGGGAGCUCAUAGUUAACCCUUGAAUAAUCAGCUUAAAAGCAGAAGGCAGAUUUUCUGGCAUACGGUUUUCCGUGGACGUUUUGCUGGUCAAAUGCCAAGAUAUAUAACAAUUUAGAUACCCGGUGUGUUUAUUAUCUAGGAUCUAGCAGAGGCUUUAGCCUUCAGUCUUGACAUUUACACAGUGGCAGCUGAAGCCUUUGGAGAAUAGCACCAAACGGAGAUGCUUUAUCCCGCGUACUGGGAAAAGUUUUAUUCUGUUGAUGAUGAAUUGCCCAGUGACGGCACUUUACACAACACAUUGUACAACUGCUUAUUUUGGUGCCUGCUUGUUUUCCCAUUUAAGAGUUUUGGCCACACGUUUGUGUUCUGUUUCAUUUCAUGCUUGCUGCAACCCCCCACAGAUGAGUGCUGCUUCUUGUCUCGUUUUAGAAACAAUUCGCAGCUGAUUAAUUCUCGAAACUCUUGAAACUGAUGAAAACAGUGAACAUUCACUUGUGAGGACUAACUCCAGCUUUAAAGUAUUUCUAGAUGUAGCUUUUAUGUUUGAGAUUUUUGGCAAGGCUUGAAUAAACCUUUUUCUCCAUCAGACGUGGUAGAAGGAGCAGGAAUCGGAGGGCAGACUAUGUCCUGUUGCCUUGAUUUUUUACCCACCACAAUAUCUGCUAUGUCUCAGAUAUCAAGUGUAAACAACAGAGCAGAAAAGUCACUAGGGAUGAUUUCCCCUGUACUAUCCCUCCAGCAGUGGCUGCCAUCAGUAGGGAAGCAAUGACAGAAGAUACUGGGAGAUACAAAUCUGGCCAAGAAAGGACUGCUCAUGCAAGUUCUGCCUGCCUUUCUGGCUUGAGGGGAUCCAGCUCACUCAGGGUUGGUGGCACAGGAGCUGUAUAACCCCCACAAAACACCCUCUGCAGUAGACCGGUUUUGAAGCACCUCUUCACGCUGCAAGCAGCAGGUAAAUGGUUGAAGAUAGGCAAUAUAUCCACCUGCCAGUUUUUUGUUGGUUGUUUUUUUGGUUGUUUUUUUGGUUCCCAGGUGCUCUUAAUGAAGGUGUUAUGAUGAUGCUCACCUGAGGCCAGGCUGCCCUGCUGGAAGCUGUUGACCUAUCCAGAUGCUUGUGACGGGCUCCUCGUGCUCUGCCAUAGCUGAUCUGAGCUCUGCCAUCAUCCAGCUUUAAGCUCAGCUUUUUGCUUAAUUUGUCUGGGAUUUCCUAAAAUAUCUGGGCAGGAUCUCUGAGAAACAAAGGAAGGAGAGAUUUGGACCUCUUCAUACACCAUAAACAUAAAGCAGUGAAGUUCUUUUACCAACAUGAGAAAAAAAGUGGGAGCUACUCCAACAUGAGACCAAUGAGAUAUUUUUGCUUAGUGUUAAGUCUGAAUUGAUGACUUUUUGCCCAGAGUUCCUCCAGCAGCUGCUCAGAGUGACUGCACGGUAGGCAUCUAAUGGCCUUAAGUUGCACCAGGGAAGGUUCAGGUUGGACAUUAGGAAAAGAUUUCUUCUCACAAAGAGUGUUGAGAUAUCAGAAUAGGCUGCCCAGUGAGGUGGUGGAGUUACCAUCCCUGGAGGUGUUCCAGAACAGGGCAGAUGUGGCAGUGAGGGACGCACGCUAGAGCAGUCACAGGAAUGGGCUGAUGGUUGGACUAGAUGAACUUAGUAGUCCUUCCAACCUUAAUGAUUCUAUGAUUCUAUGAUCUAGCAGCCCACCUCAGCUGGGACUGGGGAUUUAGUUGGCAGCAGCAGCACAAACCCCAAUGGGUUCAGUCCUCAGAUCCUCUCACCAGCCCCUCAUCUCUGGAGAAAAGCCCAAAAGGGGAAAAAAAGAGCUUUCUUAGUGAGCUGUACUGCAGCCAAGCUGCUGUUAGUAGCGGGUCUCACAGUGUUAAACAGGAGCUCACGUGCUUGAAGCCUGCGGGUUUGUUUUAGUUUGGCUCAUUAAUCUAAGUGAAGCGUUUCUGGCUUCGGACGCUGUGAGGAUUAAGUGGGGCAGCGAAACAAAUGAAAGCUUGAAUAUCUGGCCAGGUUCUCGGCACCUCCCUUCCAGCAGCAACCACCCUAGGGCUGCUGCUGAGAGGGGACCCUCAGCACUCUGCUACUGUCUGAUGUUUUGCCACUGACAUUGCUGGGAACAUCUAUCAGAUUGACAUAAAAUACAUAGAAAUGAAAAUAAAUCAUUAGCUGUGCUGUCAGCCAGGGUUGAGGACAGAAAGAGUGGGUUCUCAGAUCAUCCCGAUGGCUCAUUUUUUGCUCUUUUGUAGUGAAUUGAGAGCAUAUGAGCUGAAUAACACCAAGGGUAAGAUCUGCAGAUAAAGUGCAUGUGCUGUAAUUGGUUGAAGGAUGUUCCUGAUUACGUUAUCCUGGAGCUCUUGUUUCCUUACCAAUGCUCCCAAGCUCUUACCCUUUUACCUGUUGGGACAUGAUUUUUUAGGGGGUUUGUUUCUUCUGUCUGGCUUAAUUCAGCAAGGCCAUUUUGUCUGGUCACAGCCAGUCCUCUGUGUGGUUCAGCUAACACUCAAACCUGGGAAGCAAGCUUUCUUCUAAGCCAGCAAUCCUCUGCUUCUCUCUGGGACCUAUGGAGAUAUAGCAGAGACAACAGUGUUAGCACCAGCAGAGUUACACCCAUGAAAAUAGACCUGAACAAUGGGGACUCCGGCUACGCAAUGACCAGCAGUGCUAUCUGCUGACCCUCAGGGUGCAGUUUCCCAUUUGGGCUUAAUCUGAUCCAGUGGUGGGCUGCUGGUGAAAAGGGUGUCCCACUCUUCCUGCCUACUCCUAGCCAUGCACUGCUGGCACCUCCCUUGCACUGGAAGCAGCAAACCAGGGGGCUACUGAAACACCUGAUGGAAGAUUUUUCCUUUUUUUUUUUUUUUUUUUGGUACAUCAGUUGUUUUGCUGGAUCAACGAGCCAACCUGACUCAUCCUGCCACAGUAAUACUCCUCAGCACGAUGCAGGACACCAGCAGCUAUGCUGAGUUAAGCACAGCCAGAAAAUGAGCCAUCUGUCUGCCAUACCCAUCCCCUUAUGCCACAGCCCCCGGCAAACCACCUCUCUCUCCAAGACGUGGAUUUGCCUGAAACCAUCAAUGCAGCACAAAACAAGGGCCAGGAUCAAAGACAGCACUGAGCCUUAGCUCUCGGUCCACAGUUUUGCAAACAUUUGGAAGACUCAGCCUCAUGUGCCACCUCUGAGACAGGUUUCUUCCCCAGUUAAUUCUCCUCGCUGCCAGGAGAGCGGGAUGUGACCCUCCUGACAUUUGUUUGGUGAAUUAUACUUGCUUUCCGGAGAGCACAAACAAGCUGCUGGACUUCCUCCCCGCAGCCUCAGCCCCAGCCCAGCCCUCUGCAUCCCCUGUGCUGGCCUUACAUUGUCACAACUGAGAUGAGCACUGAGUUACGCCUCCAAAAAUGCCUCUGUGAUUUAAAGCUCUGACUCUACUUUCCAACCGCAGUCAAAGAAAUACUGGCACGUAAUUGCCACUGAUGUCCCUCGAUAUGAAACAUCUGACUGUUUUUGAAGAUCUGGUCUGAAGCAUUUGAGAAAGUCAUUUGGAUUUAGAUCUGUAAAUACUGAUGUCACUUCUAAAAAUAGGCCUUGUCCUCCAAAGGUGCCCAGGCACCACACACGCUGCUCCCUUCUGUCCCAUCCAUCUAGAUGGCUGGAGUUUGAAGACUAUGAUGAGAAAAAUAUAAGUAACUUCCAUGUCACAACAGCCAGCCCUGAAUGUAAUUACUCAAAAAACCAUAGUCUCAGCUUCUCAGUAAUGUUUGGAAACCAAUAAGAAGCAUCCUCCUUGUUCAUGGGAACAGAAAUUGUAUUCACAUAACAAAGAUAUUAGGUAAGAGGAAGUAUAUUGAGGAACUCAGGAAGUGAAAAGUCUUUCAUUGCUAUAUUAUUGCAAGAGCCAGUACAAAGAAACAUGAUUAGUCGGUUCUUCAGCAGCUUCCUAUUUCCAUCACCAAACUGCUUUAAUCUUUAAGAUACUGAACACUGUGUUUUUUUCUGAGGUUAAUGUGGAAGGCCUUUUGCGUCCAAUAGAGUCGCUGUGCACAGGUGAAAUACGGAAGACGUGAUGAAGGUUAGAUUUCAGCUAUAUCCUCCACUUCCCCACCAUUGCUCUCUUCUCUUUUCAUUUACCCUGAGCCACAACACGUGUUGUUGGAGCCGUUAUUUCUCCUUUGUCUAAUGACCCAAGUUGCCCAUACCAGCUGGGAGUGGUUGUCCCCUGCAGAGGAGACCGGUGGUGGCAGCACUGUGAUGAUAUACCCAGCUGCGGACAGCAAUAGGUCCUGGUUCCAAGGCUGCACCAAAGAGAAGGAAUCACAGAAUCAUAGACCACAGAAUUGUCUGAGUUGGAUGGGACUUUAAAGGCCAUCUGGUUCAACUCCCCUGCGAUGAACAGGGACACCUACAGCUACAUCAGGGUGCUCAGAGCCCCAUCCAGCCUGACCUUGAGCGCCUCCAGGGAUGGGGCAUCAACCACCUCUCUGGGCAACCUGUUCCAGUGCCUCACCACCCUUACUGUAAAACACUUCUUUCUUAUAUCCAGUUUAAAUACUGCAGCCCCCUGCUCAGAGGGAGAUUGCCUGUGUUAAGGGGCUGCAGCUAGAGCAGUGCUAGGGAGCAGCUGCACAAUGCAUGACAAUAAGGAUUUUUUUUUAAGUAUUUUCAAAACCAGUGUCUAUUUCCAAGGUAAUUUUUAAUGGAAACUACUUAUCAGCACUGAAGUCAGAAUGGAGGUGGACGUCCUGUUUUCUCUCAGGUUAUUUAUCUUUCCUUCCACUCAAAAAUGAGAACUGAGGGACAAGAGAGCCAGAGCUGAGGAAGAAUGCGAACAGAAAUGUUUCCAGAAGGAAAUCUUCUAUUUAGCUUUCUCAACUGUAUUUUGCAAAUACCUUGGCAUCCUUACAGCAUGAGCCUGUAGAUGGGAUAGGUGUCGAGGCUGGAUUAUUUUACAGCCUACUGGUGCUGCCAGCAUCGCUCUCGCUACGCCCAGAGCCACACACCUUCCCCUGACCUCACCAAUGAUGCUCGACUGCUUACAAGGAAGUAAACAAAAGGGACUCAUGGGGACUUCGGUUCCAUAGAAACAGCAGGGAAAAUGUCCAUGCGUGCCAAGUGGAAAAGGACUAAAUCAGUGGGGAAGGAAAUUUUAUUGUCGUAAGUUCAAAGAGGGUGUUACAAACAAGAGAGUGGGGAAAAAAAAAGGAAAACUUCAGAAAGCAGUCCCCAAAGUAAAACAAAAUACUACUGAUGAAGAUUUGCCUUAGAGCAGUUGUCAAAUAUGAUGUGGUAUUUACAUCAACUGUGACUCAGGCAGCAAUUGCUACUUCCCCUUCCAGCACACCACAGCUCUGCCUGCCCUCCAAGGGCUGCAGCUCACAAUCCCAUGCACAGACUUGGCCCUGGGUGGAGGAAAGCAAUGAAUGGGCGGUGGGACAGGGACAUGCAGCCCCACCAGUCAUGAGUCCAUCAGGACUGGAUGCGGGGGAAACAGCAAACAGAACUGUGGCAGUGGUGGGAGAAAAAGCCCUGCAAAGGAGCAGUGGCUGCAUUCAGGUGGCCCGUGAAUGCAUUCCUGGUCUGUAAUGAGAUCCUGGCCAUGAUUCAAAAGGGGAAUAUACAAAGAACACAAUUAAUUUUAUUAUAAGCCAAAUGCAGGCAUGGCUUUGGAUCUUGCAGAAAGAGAUUUAGGGUUACAAAUGCAGAGGAAUGGUGUAGCUUGGCCACUGGAUUGUUCUCAUUGUUGACAUUGCCAUCUCCAGUUGUGGAAGCCCUUUGUGGGGCUGGCAGCACUAGGGUUCAUAGGACAAGACUGUGGAUGUGCAACAACUACAUGGAUGUGCAACAAUCAGCAACACCUGUACGCAUCUAUUUGCUACUGUAGGCUUCAUGAGGGCAAGCUGAGACAAGAUGGGCCACAAACUGACACCGAGGCACCUACACAGCAUCACUCCAGGCACCUUUUUCCUCCAAAGAGACCCCCAGCUCUUCCCAGUCCCAUGCGGCUGAAGCAGUGACACACUGUUGAAGAAACCAUCAAUUCUGGCAGCCACUCUGGUUAUUUCUAAGCAAAUCACCCUCCUCUUCCUGCUCUGAUAGGAAAAAUCCAAAGAUAGAUCAAGUUUUAGUCAUUUCCACAUCUGAAAGGGCUGAAAGCUGGUGUCUGUGGCCAGUCCUAUGGGGAACAACAACCCUAUGUGCUACAUUCAGGUCCACACCAUGUCAUGUAGCAUUUCAGAGCAACGCAAAUAAGGCCAAGUCACAAACCGUACCUAUAUGAGCACCACCUGGUUAGGCUUCUUCCCAGUGCUUCCAGCUUACCAAGCUGGUGGUACAGUCAGGUCUGCAUGCCCAGGGGUCUCCUUCUUGCUGGAGCUUCAGCCAAUUCAGCACUUGCCUGCUGGGAUUUUGACCCUCCCAUCCCCCAUAUGUUUGUUUGAAGAGAUAACUACUUUAUAUAUAUACUUGCUCUUUGGAUGGGGGUGGGGG
ensembl:lncRNA